CAAGAGUAGCUGCGCCCUUCUUUGCUUCAGUUGAACAAGCACCAGAGUCUCUGAUUUGGCAGUGUUGGAGCGAGAGGAACUGGCCUUAAAAAGUCAUGCGCCUCCAUGUGAAGAGACCACCAAACAGGCUUUGGCCAAUCGACUGAAGACGGAAUAGAACAAAAAGGCUGACCUCCCAGGAGUAACAGGGAGCUCCUACAGCCAAACAGCUUGAGUUGGAACACUUUUCCAGCCUUGGGCAACACUUUUCCAGCCUUGGGCUCAGACUGGGACUACACAUCAGUUUGCCUGCUUCUCCAGCUUGUCAACUGCAGAUCCUGAGACUUCUUAGCCUUCAUAAUUGUAUGGGCAAAUUCCUUAUAAUAAAUCUUUUAUACACACA